rnacentral:rRNA from 1 species
AUUGAACGCUGGCGGAAUGCUUUACACAUGCAAGUCGAACGAUGAACCUUAGCUUGCUAAGGGGAUUAGUGGCGAACGGGUGAGUAAUGUAUCGGAACGUAUCCAAUAAUGGGGGAUAACUAGUCGAAAGAUUAGCUAAUACCGCAUACGUCCUACGGGAGAAAGCUAGGGACCUUCGGGCCUGGCGUUAAUGGAGCGGCCGAUAUCUGAUUAGCUAGUUGGUGGGGUAAAGGCUCACCAAGGCGACGAUCAGUAGCUGGUCUGAGAGGACGGCCAGCCACACUGGAACGGAGACACGGUCCAGACGCCUACGGGAGGCAGCAGUGGGGAAUUUUGGACAAUGGGCGAAAGCCUGAUCCAGCCAUUCCGCGUGAGUGAAGAAGGCCUUCGGGUUGUAAAGCUCUUUCGCAAGGGAAGAAAACUUAAGCUCUAACAUAGCUUGAGGUUGACGGUACCUUGAUAAGAAGCACCGGCUAACUACGUGCCAGCCGCCGCGGUAA